AUUGAACGCUGGCGGCAUGCUUUACACAUGCAAGUCGAACGGCAGCGCGGGGCAACCUGGCGGCGAGUGGCGAACGGGUGAGUAAUAUAUCGGAACGUACCCAGAAGUGGGGGAUAACGUAGCGAAAGUUACGCUAAUACCGCAUACGAUCUACGGAUGAAAGUAGGGGACCGCAAGGCCUUAUGCUUUUGGAGCGGCCGAUAUCUGAUUAGCUAGUUGGUGAGGUAAAGGCUCACCAAGGCGACGAUCAGUAGCUGGUCUGAGAGGACGACCAGCCACACUGGAACUGAGACACGGUCCAGACUCCUACGGGAGGCAGCAGUGGGGAAUUUUGGACAAUGGGCGCAAGCCUGAUCCAGCAAUGCCGCGUGAGUGAAGAAGGCCUUCGGGUUGUAAAGCUCUUUUGUCAGGGAAGAAACGGUAGAGGCUAAUAUCCUGUGCUAAUGACGGUACCUGAAGAAUAGGCACCGGCUAACUACGUG
rnacentral:rRNA from 1 species